rnacentral:lncRNA from 1 species
AGAGAGGGCUAAGCGCCGAUCCUUGAUGGAGCCCCAUAGCCACUAGAAAAUGGUCUGAGUCGCCACCCACCGUCCUAACCCUAGUCUUAGCUCCAUCAUACAUGUCCUUGAUUACUCUGAUGUAGGCUUCCGGCACCCUCACCGGGGCAUCAGGACUUCUCCUCCGUACAUGCCCGAACCACCUCAGCCUCGCUUCUCGCAUCUUCUCAUCCACCGGGGCCACCCC